rnacentral:lncRNA from 1 species
UUUAAUAAUUUAAUUUUGGAUGUAACGCGUCUUCUGAUUGGCUGACGUUAUUUUGUUAUGAGCCCAUAGACAUAAUUAAGUCAUGUGACCGUGACGUCAUCAACGUUUUUUCAUGGUUUUCUACGGUUUAAAAUGGAAUUUAGAAUUAAGUUAUAAGAAAUGACUGUAAUAUUUUUUCUGUCUAUUCGAAAUAACAUCAAAAAUGUGGUGCACAC